UACGUAGGGUGCAAGCGUUGUCCGGAAUUAUUGGGCGUAAAGAGCUCGUAGGCGGUUUGUCGCGUCUGCUGUGAAAACUCGGGGCUUAACCCCGGGCCUGCAGUGGGUACGGGCAGACUAGAGUGCGGUAGGGGAGACUGGAAUUCCUGGUGUAGCGGUGAAAUGCGCAGAUAUCAGGAGGAGCACCGGUGGCGAAGGCGGGUCUCUGGGCCGUAACUGACGCUGAGGAGCGAAAGCAUGGGGAGCGAACAGG
rnacentral:rRNA from 1 species